UUUCUCUUUGAACAGUAUAUACUUCUUUUCAACAUGGUUGCUUUAAAUUUCGAAAAGACCAUACUCAUAAUAAUUCUGGCCGAAAUCCUUGCCAGAUUCCGUGGUGGGUCAGGACUGCGGUUGUGCUACAGACCUGUGCUGUAGUGAGCAUGGAUAUUGUGGCGUUGGGGAUGCCUAUUGCCUCACAAGUUGCCGAGAGGGUCCUUGCUAUGUCACACCUAGUAGUUGUGUCUCUGUCGCUUAUACUUUGACAGACGCAUUCUUUAACGCCAUCAUUGGCCAAGCCGGUGCAGAUUGUGCCGGCAAGAAUUAUUGUUGUUUUCAGGUACGGAUGCCUUUAUUUGGGAUGCACAACAUCACUAGGUCAUUUUGAUGGAUUGAAGUUCUUUUAAGUGUAUUCUUGUUCACAUGCAAGUGUUAGCAUGCUUGAUUUUUUACUUUUAAAGUUGAAAUAGAUAGUUAGGUCAAAAAUGUCAUUUUUUCCUUGAAACUUGUAAGGUAUGCCUAAGCACACUUUUUGACACUUAUUUCAUGUAUAAGAUAUGUGGCAAAGGGCUAAACUUCAUUUGAAAUCCAUAUAUAUUCAUAUGUUGAAA